GAUCACUGGCUCAGGACGAACGCUGGCGGCGUGCCUAACACAUGCAAGUCGAGCGGAGACAGUGAGUAGCUUGCUAUGAGCUGUUUUAGCGGCGGACGGGUGAGUAACGCGUGAGCAACCUUUCCCAGACAGGGGAAUAACACACCGAAAGGUGUACUAAUACCGCAUAAGACCACGGGAUCACAUGGUUCUGGGGUAAAAGAUUUAUCGGUUUGGGGUGGGCUCGCGUCCGAUUAGGUAGUUGGUGAGG
rnacentral:rRNA from 1 species